rnacentral:rRNA from 1 species
UACGUAGGGUCCGAGCGUUGUCCGGAAUUAUUGGGCGUAAAGGGCUCGUAGGCGGUCUGUUGCGUCGGGAGUGAAAACUUACAGCUUAACUGUGAGCGUGCUUUCGAUACGGGCAGACUUGAGGCAUUCAGGGGAGAACGGAAUUCCUGGUGUAGCGGUGAAAUGCGCAGAUAUCAGGAGGAACACCAAUGGCGAAGGCAGCACUCUGGGACGGUACUGACGCUGAGACGCGAAAGCGUGGGGAGCGAUCCGG